UACGAAGGGGGCUAGCGUUGCUCGGAAUCACUGGGCGUAAAGCGCACGUAGGUGGGUCGUUAAGUCAGGGGUGAAAUCCUGGAGCUCAACUCCAGAACUGCCUUUGAUACUGGCGAUCUUCGAGUCCGGGAGAGGUGAGUGGAACUGCGAGUGUAGAGGUGAAAUUCGUAGAUAUUCGCAAGAACACCAGUGGCGAAGGCGGCUCACUGGCCCGGUACUGACGCUGAGACGCGAAAGCGUGGGGAGCAAACAGG
rnacentral:rRNA from 1 species